UGGGGAAUAUUGGACAAUGGGCGCAAGCCUGAUCCAGCCAUGCCGCGUGAGUGACGAAGGCCUUAGGGUUGUAAAGCUCUUUUUGGCGGGGACGAUAAUGACGGUACCCGCAGAAUAAGCUCCGGCUAACUUCGUGCCAGCAGCCGCGGUAAUACGAAGGGAGCUAGCGUUGUUCGGAAUCACUGGGCGUAAAGCGCACGUAGGCGGAUUAUUAAGUCAGGGGUGAAAUCCCGGGGCUCAACCUCGGAACUGCCUCUGAUACUGAUAGUCUCGAGUCCGGAAGAGGUGGGUGGAAUUCCUAGUGUAGAGGUGAAAUUCGUAGAUAUUAGGAGGAACACCAGUGGCGAAGGCGACUUUCUGGAUCAAUACUGACGCUGAGGAGCGAAAGCGUGGGGAGCAAACAGGAUUAGAUACCCAAGUAGUCCCUGAGCGGGCUGGCAAGGCGCAU
rnacentral:rRNA from 1 species